rnacentral:rRNA from 1 species
GUCGAGCGCGACUUCGGGUUGAGCGGCGGACGGGUUAGUAACGCGUGGGAACGUACCCAGAUCUAAGGAAUAGCCACUGGAAACGGUGAGUAAUACCUUAUACGCCCUUCGGGGGAAAGAUUUAUCGGAUUUGGAUCGGCCCGCGUUAGAUUAGGUAGUUGGUGGGGUAAUGGCCUACCAAGCCUACGAUCUAUAGCUGGUUUUAGAGGAUGAUCAGCAACACUGGGACUGAGACACGGCCCAGACUCCUACGGGAGGCAGCAGUGGGGAAUCUUGGACAAUGGGCGAAAGCCUGAUCCAGCCAUGCCGCGUGAGUGAUGAAGGCCCUAGGGCCGUAAAGCUCUUUCGCCAGGGAUGAUAAUGACAGUACCUGGUAAAGAAACCCCGGCUAACUCCGUGCCAGCAGCCGCGGUAAUACGGAGGGGGUUAGCGUUGUUCGGAAUUACUGGGCGUAAAGCGCACGUAGGCGGAUUAGUCAGUCAGAGGUGAAAUCCCAGGGCUCAACCCUGGAACUGCCUUUGAUACUGCUAGUCUUGAGUUCGAGAGAGGUGAGUGGAAUUCCGAGUGUAGAGGUGAAAUUCGUAGAUAUUCGGAGGAACACCAGUGGCGAAGGCGGCUCACUGGCUCGAUACUGACGCUGA